rnacentral:rRNA from 1 species
GAGUUUGAUCAUGGCUCAGAUUGAACGCUGGCGGCAGGCCUAACACAUGCAAGUCGAGCGGUAGAGAGAAGCUUGCUUCUCUUGAGAGCGGCGGACGGGUGAGUAAUGCCUAGGAAUCUGCCUGGUAGUGGGGGAUAACGCUCGGAAACGGACGCUAAUACCGCAUACGUCCUACGGGAGAAAGCAGGGGACCUUCGGGCCUUGCGCUAUCAGAUGAGCCUAGGUCGGAUUAGCUAGUUGGUGAGGUAAUGGCUCACCAAGGCGACGAUCCGUAACUGGUCUGAGAGGAUGAUCAGUCACACUGGAACUGAGACACGGUCCAGACUCCUACGGGAGGCAGCAGUGGGGAAUAUUGGACAAUGGGCGAAAGCCUGAUCCAGCCAUGCCGCGUGUGUGAAGAAGGUCUUCGGAUUGUAAAGCACUUUAAGUCGGAGGAAGGGCAGUAAAUUAAUACUUUGCUGUUUGACGUUACCGACAGAAUAAGCACCGGCUAACUCUGU